rnacentral:pre_miRNA from 1 species
CAUGCACCAGAGGGGUCCCUCGGCCUGGCUUGCACCCUCUUCCAAUCUGUGACCCUCAGGGGGUGUCGGAGAGCCGGUUUCAACCUGAUCCUGCAGGCCAGGCUGAAGGACCCCACUGGUGCAUG